CCUUCGAUAGCUCAGCUGGAAGAGCGUGGGACUGUAACGGAUAACUCUGGCAACGCUAUCCCAAGGUCGCUGGUUCGACCCCGGCUCGAAGGA